rnacentral:lncRNA from 1 species
GUUGACAAAAAUGAACUAUUAUUAAUGAUAAUCAGUUUACAUGAUCAAAAAGUGUCAACAAUAAUCAAAAUCUAAUUGGUGAGAACCAAGAAAUAAGAGAAGUCGAUGUGUUUGAAAGAGCUUGAUGUCAAGUCGAUGUAUCUGGGUGUCCAUGUCCUCUUCCUUCGUCUUCCUCUCUUUUUAUCCUUGCAUUCGUUCCGAUAUCCACGUAGUUGCCGAUUCUUUAGGAUUUCCUUGACUCAGUUCGAAAUCGAACACGAGGCUUAUCAUCAAGCUCGACGUCUAACUCUUUAUCUCUGCCCACUCACUUGUUUCCGAACCCAAUUAUCCGAGCCCAACUUCGAUGAUGGAUCAUGGUCCAACAAUCUUAUAAGUUUCCACUGAAACUACUAAAACCCCAAAUUUUCAAGAACUACAUCUGUUUUCUAGAUGGUAGAGUGAAGGAAAGAUAUGAAAGGAGUGCAGGGAAACAUACUCCUUCAGUUUACGGAAUCCUUGAAGCACAUUGAAGACCGUUUUUGUAUAUCUGAGCCCUAGCACAUCUGUAUUAUGUUUCUGAAGUUUCACCUGAAAGAAGAAACAACCCCCACAAAGAAUCAACGGUGGAAACACAAGAAGCUAAUCUAGUGAUAAAACUAUGGAGAAUGGUUUAAACUAAAACAAUAACUGGUUUUUCUUCCUACCAAUGCAUCCGUAACCAGACAAAACCACAUGAGU